rnacentral:rRNA from 1 species
CCUACGGGAGGCAGCAGUGGGGAAUAUUGGACAAUGGGGGAAACCCUGAUCCAGCAAUGCCGCGUGAGUGAUGAAGGCCUUAGGGUCGUAAAGCUCUUUUACCAGGGAUGAUAAUGACAGUACCUGGAGAAUAAGCUCCGGCUAACUCCGUGCCAGCAGCCGCGGUAAUACGGAGGGAGCUAGCGUUGUUCGGAAUUACUGGGCGUAAAGCGUGCGUAGGCGGUUAUUCAAGUCAGAGGUGAAAGCCCGGGGCUCAACCCCGGAACGGCCUUUGAAACUAGAUAACUAGAAUCUUGGAGAGGUCAGUGGAAUUCCGAGUGUAGAGGUGAAAUUCGUAGAUAUUCGGAAGAACACCAGUGGCGAAGGCGACUGGCUGGACAAGUAUUGACGCUGAGGUACGAAAGCGUGGGGAGCAAACAGGAUUAGAUACCCUGGUAGUCCACGCCGUAAACGAUGAUAACUAGCUGUCCGGACACUUGGUGUUUGGGUGGCGCAGCUAACGCAUUAAGUUAUCCGCCUGGGGAGUACGGUCGCAAGNUUAAAACUCAAAUGAAAUUGACGG